AAUCGUGCCUCCACUGAAAAGCUGUUCUGCAGCUGAUCGGAUCAGAGGGCACUGCUGCGGAGCCCAUGCAGCUCCAGUCCAUGGAAAAACCUGGCUCAUCUCUAGCCUAUAGACCUGCUAUCAGCAAGUAGGGAAUCAAACACACAUAGUGAUUCUUCUUUGCCUUGGUGUAGAAGCUCUGAUUGAGAUGUAUGGACAGAACCCUAACUGGUUGUGGUCGAGCGGGGCGCCUCUACGCCACCACAGGCACCUGGGCAGACUUGGCUCAGCAACCCUGAGGCAAUGGGAGGAUGAGGAGGAGGAAGAAGGAAAAGAGGAAGAACAUGCUAUUUGGACCAGGGAGCAUCCAGCAAUCUGUUGCUAUACUACAGUGUUUGCCAGUGUGGGCGGAUGACUUGUGACUAAGAGCCUUGCCCAAACUCAGCAGGGCCAUUGGCAGGCCAAAGAGACAGCAGGACCAAACACGUGAUACAACGACAGACUGCAACAGAACAGCACCCACCCUUCCAUCCUACCUUAUGUCAUCUCUUCUCACCACACCUCACUAUUAUCGCUCCUCCAUCUCUUCCCUUCCCCUCCUCUCUCAGCCUUCUAUCUCCUCUCCUUACAACUCUUUAUCCACUUUUCAGUCUUCAUCUCCCCCAUUCCCAUGUCUUUGUAUGCUCAUUAAAGUGCUAUCCAACAUAUAGACAUAAUGCCAUUUGCUUGGUUUCUCCAUUCACUUGAAUCCCUUUAGACAUCAUAAAUGGUAUGAACAGAAUAGCUUUUUGUCAAAUGUUCUUAGGUUCUCUCCUUCUCUCCUUUGUCCCUUGUGUCUUCAGAUGGCCAUGGCCUCACCCAAGAGUGUGUUCAGAACCGCUGGGCUGGUACAGAGAGUCCCUUUGGCCCUGUCCACACAGACCUAGUUAGCAUCCAAAGCCAGAGUGACACAAGGCAGGAGGCCCCUGAAAUGUGGAUGGAUGUCCCCCCACACCUGCCCUCCUUGGGUGCUGCUGAUGGAGAAGAAUCAUCCCAGCAUUAUUUAGGCAGUCAUUGGGGGAGCCACAGGACAGAGGGCCAUGGUUGUGUUUGUAUGCAUGGACCAAGAAGAUAUUGCCACAGUUGGGCUGGUUCCCCUCUCUUCAAUUUCGGAGUGAGGAAGACAAUAAUGGUAGGAGUCGAGGUGGAAAUAGUGGAGGAAGUAGCCUAUGAGGACACAGAGACACUUGAAGUAAUAUCAGAAGGAGUGUAUCCAAAUUAUUUGAUGGAACCCAUAUUGCUGCACGAUGACCAGCUUUCCCCCACCUAAACCAGCAUUAUUUCAAAAGUUGUUUGCAAUUGAACUUUAACUGUGUUUUUAAAUGUCAGCCUUGUCUUUUGAAUGUCUUUUAAAUGUAUUUAAAUGUAGUUUAAAUAUAAAAAUGUAUUUUACAAUUUAAUUAUUUUUU